rnacentral:miRNA from 1 species
UCAAGUUCACUUGCAGGAGCC